rnacentral:rRNA from 1 species
UACGGAGGGUGCAAGCGUUAUCCGGAUUUAUUGGGCGUAAAGAGCUCGUAGGCGGCUUGGUAAGUCGGAAGUCAAAACAGGAGGCUCAACCUCUUGUCGCUUCUGAUACUGCCAUGGCUUGAGUUUGGUAGGGGAUGAGGGAAUUCCUGGUGUAGCGGUGAAAUGCGCAGAUAUCAGGAGGAACACCGGUGGCGAAGGCGCUCAUCUGGGCCAAUACUGACGCUGAGGAGCGAAAGCGUGGGGAGCAAACAGG